GCAGUCGUUGCCGAGUGGUUAAGGUAAUGGACUAGAAAUCCAUUGGGGUCUCCCCGUACAGGUUCGAAUCCUGUCGACUGCG
rnacentral:tRNA from 1 species